UUAUAUUAACCCUUGUUAUAAUGAUAAUAGGAAAGAAAAAUCAGAUUUCCCAGUGGGAUUGAAGGUAAUUCUGCCCAUUUCAUUUGUAGUAUUCAGUUUUGCAUAUCAUAAUUUCUGUUUCUUGCUCGUCAUAACUGUUAGAUGACUUUUUUUUUAAUCUUUUCUAUUUCAUGUUUGAAUUCCUUGAAAUUGGUGGGGACCAUUAUUUUGUUUGAUGGUUAUAAUUCACGUUGUUCAUUUUUCUUGAGAUAAAUGGGAGAUUGUCAUUAGUGACUGAGGGUGGCAAAUGGGGUGGCGGAUCAGAAUUGCCCUUUAACCUGCUCAGGAUAAGAAAAGGAAGCGUAAUUUAUUGUAAACUGUAUGACGGAUGUAUAGUGAGGGACGCUUUCUGACAGAUGGCUAUGUAUCCAGAUGUAAAUAAAAGCAGGUCGAGGGAAAAACCACUGACCUUUAGUGCACUUCGUGUUUUGAAGUACCUUUUGCCAAGGUUGUCUGCAGCUUGGCGUGUUAGAAGGCCUUUUCUAGUUGAAGCCGUAAAGUUUCUAUUAGAUGAGCAGAGUUUAGGCGUGAAAAAUGGCCCUUUCAGCGAGUUGUUCUUUGAAUACCUUGUACGCAAUUGUGCUUUGCCAAAUCAAAUUCAGAGUAAUAUUGAGAGGGUAGUGCGAAUAAGGGAGCAGAGGAAUUGCAGAUGAUGGAGAUUUAUCUUCAUUUAUCAGGGCCAACUUCAGCCUUACCAGCCAUGGUCUAAAUUCCUGCAGAAUUUACUUCUUUUUUGACCAUGGCUUCCCGAAUCUCUCUAGUGGCUAGAAGGAACAUAAAGCUGCGCUUGAUGGUAGAGGUCAUCGCGUUGAUGAGCUAAGAGGUCACCAUGGAAUUCUUAGUCCUCUAGACAUGCACACCCUGUGAGUCUACAGCAGGAGGGCAGGUCAUAUCACCGGUGAGAUACCCAAGCAUCCCCCUUCCUUUAAUGACAAGGUGAAUUGAUAGGGCCCAUUCUCGAUAGUUAUCGCUAGUGAGGUUCUCCGGGAUAAUCAAGAACGUUACCUUCGAAAUUCGUAUUUAGUAGGAGGUGCUUUGAAGUUAAAAAACUGGAGCCAUUGGGCUCUAUAGUCGACUUAAUCAACUUGCUGGUGUCAUUGGGCAUAACACGAAUGCGGUUGAUGGGUCAAAUCCCCCUCUCAAGCUCUGAUACCAUGUGAGUUGAGGAAUCAAUUUGAAUAAUUUGUGUUUUUUUUAUAUCUUGUAUUGAUAGGUUACAUGAUUAUAUGCAAGAAAAUAAAAGGAAAUACAAGAAAGCCUAAUAAACCUAUUUAUAACGGUAGGAAACCAAAGAAUAAUGAAUUAAAUAAUGAAUCAUAAAUAAUGGAAUUAUGGAGCCUUUUUUUUUGGACUGGAGAAUUAUAGAGCUUAAUUUCCAGGAUUUUCACAUAUGCGUAUUGUAUGCAUAGAAGAAUUUGAAUCAUUUUGUCAUGUUUGUCUCAUUAUGUUCAUUUGAUUUGUAUUUCUUUUACUUUUUUAAACUUGUUGGGAUUUGGGUUCGAGUAACAUCAAUGAAAGCCUUAGAUCAGAUAGUUGGUUUUAUAACACAAACCAAUUGAAGAUAACUUUACGAAAGCUAUUCUUAUCAUAUUGGAUUUGUAAGAUUCACUUACAUAUUGCUUUAAACUACAUAUUCAAUUGAGUUCAGUGCUAGACAGAAAGGAAAUUGAUAAAUCUUUUAUAGCAAUGCUAUUGAAGAUUGCUUCCUCUGAGGAAAAUUUGGUAAUCGCUACUUGAAUGGCAGGCGAUGUAUAACUUAGUUUCACUCUAUGAAUUGCAGCCAGGACACAAUUAAAGGGAUAACAACUAUGCCGUUGAUUUUUAAGGCCUUAAUUAUCCUGUUACUGUUGACUACUUUACAUUCUAAAAUAUGUAAUUAGGACUUGAAUUUGUUUGACUCGCUCAUAAUAGUCACUUUUCACCUAGUAUGUGUGGUUUAUGCCAACAUGCAUUCAUUUUUAAGGUUUGGUGGAAUCUUAUCAGAGUACUCUUGGAUACUAACUUUUGUGUCUUUCAACUAUGGAAAUAGAAUGAUUAUCAAAGUACCUUAAUUGAUUAUACAUGACUAGGUUCUGUGCUUCUUUAACUGAU